rnacentral:lncRNA from 1 species
CUGCAGGGACAUUUGGGUGGGAGUAUCAGAGGGACUGUGGCUCCAACCCUGACCCAUGCUUCCCUCUACACAACACAUGCAUCCUAUGGAUCCUUUGACCCGAUGGCACCAAGCCUCUGCUACCCAGCCCCUUUGGCCCCCUCCAAUCCCAGGGGCCUAUUCCCAGCUCUCCCCAGAAUAGCUUCCCAUGCAUAUUUAUUUAUCUUAUUAUUUUUUUAGAUGGAUUCUCACUCUGUUGCCCAGGCUGGAGUGCAGUGGUGCGAUCUCGGCUCACUGUAACCUCCGCCUCCCCGGUUCAAGUGAUUCUCCUGUCUUAGCCUCCCGAGUAGCUGGGAUUACAGGCGUGCGCCACAACGCCCAGCUAAUUUUUUUGUAGUUUUAGUAGAGACGGGGUUUCACCAUGUUGGCCAGGCUGGUCUCAAACUACUGACCUCAAAUGAUCUGCCCGCCUCGGCCUCCCAAAGUGCGGGGAUUAUGGGCGUGAGCCACCAUGCCCAGCCCCCAUGCAUAUUUAAACCCUGAGCUUUCUGAGGGCAGGGCUACACCAACCUCUGUUCUAAACACUUUUCCUGUACAGAUUUAUCUAAUCAUCCCAGUAAUGUCAUGAGAUAAGUACUAUCAUUAUUCUCAUUUCACAGAAGAGGAAACUGAGGCCUAGAGAGGUUAAGUAAUUUGUCCACAGUCACACAGCUUGUAAAUAGCAGAGCUUGGGCACAAACACAGGUGAUCUGGCAGCAGGGUCCGUUCUUACCCAGGCUGUGCUGCCUCUCCCUGGGGAGCAUCCUCUAAGAGAUGAGUACCCUAAGAUGCAGGGGGUCAAAUUCCCUUCCAUAGCCACGUGAACCUCUGUCCCAGUCCAAAGAUCUCACUUUACCCUCGCCUUACAUUAGGGGGCAUCAGGCCAGUCACCCCCUCCCUUGUUCUUAAGACUGAGAGCUAGGACUCUGGAGUCCUGGCUAGCUCCCUCAGCCCCCUCAGUGGGACCCAGGCAGAAAGGAGAUUUGAGGUCUCCUAAGACCUGAGGCCAGGCUGCUGGAAGGUGCUGGACCAAAGUGCUCUUCUCAGCUCAUAAUCUCCUGUCCCCACAACCCCUUUCCUGCCAGUCACUCCAUCUCUCCUGCCCUCCUCUCACCAGAUAUGCCUCUUUAGACAGGCUCUCUCCCCUGCUCAAAAACUCUCCGUGACUCCGUCCUAUCAACUACUUUAGCAUGGCAAUGAAGGCUCUUUUACACCCUGACUCUUCCAGCCAGCUGGGCUGGUAUCCUGUCCCCAGCCCUCCACACAUGGAAACUCCCUGUAGCUCUAGGUACAUUCUUCUGCAGCCCACAGUGCCUCCUCCCUCCCCUGUCUAUUCUUCAAGGCCCAACUGAAGUCCCCACUCCUCUAGGAAACUUUCCAUGACCCCUGCUCUGAGCCUGUGCAGGUCCCUCCCUGUCCUGGCUACGGGGUGGGGCUGUCCCAUUCUGCCCUCCCUCUCAGGUUGUGCUGUCCAAUAUGGUAGCCACUAGUCAUAUGUGGCUAUUUAAAUCCAAGUUAACAAAAAAUAAAAAAUAAGGUCAGGUGCUGUGGCUCAUGCCUGUAAUCCCAGCACUUUGGGAGGCCGAGGCAGGCGGAUCACCUGAGGUCGGGAGUUCGAGACCAGCCUAACAUGGAGAAACCCCAUCUCUCCUAAAAAUACAAAAUUAGCUGGGCAAGGUGGUGCAUGCCUGUAAUCGCAACUACUCAGGAGGCUGAGGCAGGAGAAUCACUUGAACCCGGGAGACGAAGGCUGUAGCGAGCCAAGAUCGCGCCAUUGCACUCCAGCCUGGGCAACAAGAGCGAAAGUCUGUCUCAAAAAAAAAAAAAAAAGUUAAGUAUCGGUUCCUCAUGCACCAACCUCAUUUCAAGUGCCCAGUACCUACGUAUCACUAGUCUCAGAUACUAAAGUUAUAAAAUGUUACCAUCAUGCAGAAGUUCUAUUAGACAGCACUAUUCUGGAGUCUUCUAAUUGCCUCACAAACCAUGGUCUCAUCUCCCUACAAGACACAGGGCCUCUUAAGAAUGGGGAUUUGCUGCUGUCUUUCUCCACCUUCCUUCAGAGGCAGGCCACACAAAGGCCUGGGCGGCCUGAGAUGCAUAACAAAUUCACUCAAUAAGCCCAUGGGUUCCAUACACAAACUAAAAUUUGCAAAGCAGCUCUGUGUAACCACAGACAUUCACAGUAACUGUCAUGCUGCAAGGAGUGGUUCUCUUUCUUCCUCUGUGGGGGCCUCAAAGUAACCCUCCAGUUCAACCCCAUGACUCCCAUCCCAGCCACUCCCAGCUGGCUCCCCGAAGACAAGCUGCCAUCAAUCCCUUCCUCACCCCGCCAGCCCAUUUUACGUAGGGGCAAACCAAGGCCCACCACAGACUUCAGCCUGACCCUAUUUUGUGUUGGAGGCUACUGUGGAAAAAACCAGAACCCUGGGAGCAGGAGGAAGUGUGGGGGUGAGGCUUUCACCUUAUAAGCUGGGUGCAGGGGGCCCACACACAACUUAACCUUUCAGUGACCCAGGACAGGACCUCUAAAAGAAUCAGGCCUGGGAGACCUUGCCCUGCCCCCAGAAGCACCAAGAGGCACAGGAAUCUGCUGCCAGCCCAAGGGUCAGAGCCCGACAGCACACACAGCAUGAGUGGGCAGGCGCAGGGGCACCUGGCACAAAGCUGCGCACGCACAUGGGAAUACCUUGCCACCUGAGCCCCGAGCCCGCCUCAGGUAUGCUGGCGGGCACAGCCAGAGGUGCAAAGGCACUUGACCCAACCCCCUCACAGGGAAGGCUGGACCUCCUGGAGGCCCCAGACAAUGGCAAGAGGCCUGGCACGAUGGCGAGGUGGCCAGGACACUCUGGGAACAUCAGGCCCACUGACCUCCCCUGGAACAAUUGGCCCUCAAAUUCUUGCCUGCUGGUUGCCCCAAGCCCACCCUCAGGAGGACAGGGCCCCCCAGGUGCUCUUCAGAGUCCAGGCUGAUCCCUCCAUCCAGUGCCCAGGACAUCUGAAAGGCCCUGCUGGCCCCACACAUCUCACACCACAGGCUUACUGCAUGGCUGCUUCUCCACGACCAAACCCACCAGGAGCUGGUUCAGGGAGGAUUCAGGGGUUGGAGUGAGAGCAGGAAGAGGAAGGAGGCUGGCCAGGGGGUGCCAGCCAGGGAGGAGUCCGGGGGGCUGCACUGGUCUGGCCUGCUCUCCCUCAGGGCCAACUCCUGCUACAGACAGCGCCUGGGAGAACAGUGGGAGCUGCUGCCGCUUCAAGCCUGGGAAACUGGAAGGAAGAUGGGAAAUACCUGCCUGCCGUCCCCUUCACGACCCCACCCCAGUUCACCGAAUGAGCAAAUCAGCAGUGCAUGGCCUGGACUGCGUACACUGGAGCAUGCAGGAGCAGAGCAGAGUGGAACGUGGCCUGGGCUAGAAGCUCUGGAGGCCCCAGGCCACCAGGGAGACUGGGACUAGGUGGGGCCCAGGGAGGACCUUCACACCCCCAGCCCUGCCUGUCGGGCCUCAGGCCUUUGGUGAUCUGCCCGGGGCCUAUGAGGACAAAAGCAUGAAGAAUCAGGAGCCGCCAUUCCCACCCUCCACCACCUGGGCCCCCACUCCUCAGCUUUGCCGCUGCUUCCUCUGACUCCCCUCCCGGCCUGGAGCAGCGAACCCUGAGCCCCUACAUUCCUGCCCCAGGAAAGCCUCAUGUCCCUCUGGAGACUGACUGGCCAGGCCAGCUGCCAUUUUUGAUGCCAGACUAGACUGGGCAGACGGGUGAGGCUUGGGGACUCUGGGCUGUAUAAAAGUUAAUAAAUAAUAAUAAUAAAA